GCCAGACUCCUACGGGAGGCAGCAGUGAGGAAUAUUGGUCAAUGGGCGAGAGCCUGAACCAGCCAAGUCGCGUGAGGGAAGACGGUCCUAUGGAUUGUAAACCUCUUUUGCCGGGGAGCAAAAAGCGGUACGUGUACCGCAUCGAGAGUACCCGGAGAAAAAGCAUCGGCUAACUCCGUGCCAGCAGCCGCGGUAAUACGUAGGGAGCAAGCGUUGUCCGGAAUUACUGGGCGUAAAGGGCGCGUAGGUGGGCGCUUAAGUCAGGUGUGAAAACUCCGGGCUCAACCUGGAGACUGCACUUGAAACUGGGUGUCUUGAGGGCAGGAGAGGAAAGUGGAAUUCCUAGUGUAGCGGUGAAAUGCGUAGAUAUUAGGAGGAACACCAGUGGCGAAGGCGACUUUCUGGACUGUACCUGACGCUGAGGCGCGAAAGCGUGGGUAGCGAACGGGAUUAGAUACCCCCGUAGG
rnacentral:rRNA from 1 species